CUGCAGGGGAUGAGGAGGUUAAGAUGAGUAAAGUGAUGUAGUCAAAGACAGUAGAAUCAGGACUGGAAUGCAAAGCACGGUCACCUGACUUUUGGAAAACUGAGGACACAGAGCGAGUAAUCAGAAAAGGAAGAGACAGUGUUUACUCACUUGAAAGUUUCAUUUCAAGAAGUAGUUGAGGAAAGAGAGAAAGAAGACUAAUAGAAGAAAAUUUAAAAGAAGAAGUGUGAUCCUACAGUAAACUGAUCCACGUUUAUCAGGACAUGUGUACUACAGAAGCGCACUACUUUAACAAGAACGAAAAAUUAGCUCUUCCAUCACAACUUCCAGCUCUCCUAUGAUGGUAGCUUGCCUCAAACCGCAUUCUACCACAGCUGCUGGGACGCUAAUCGCCAGUCUAUACAGGAAGUCAAAAUAUCACCAUAAAGACAACAACUUGGAUAAAAUUGUAUUUUCACAGCACUAAAUGAUUGAAACUUUUGGAACUUGGGGUAAGACUGAACUCAAAGAAAAGUAUUUGAAUAUUAACUGAUAUUUGCUCACAAUGUAGGUGAGUUCAGCUAAGGACCAUACUCAUCUCACUGAAUGCAGAGUGCAGAUUUCGUCAGCACAUGGAACGCUUUCCUCUUCACUCUAUCCAAGGACUGCAAAACCUUCUCUAAUUAAACAAUGAAAUAAUAUUGAAACAGUUUGAACAUGUAUCAAAUUUAUUUAGAAGUUUUAGGUUUCUCAGACUUUUUCCUGCUCCUCUGUCACAAUCCUCUUCUUGGACACUACUGGUUACAUAAAGGAGUCUCUCACUGUCUUUCAAAUCACUCAGCAUGAAAAUAUGUUGUAUUCAGAUCUAACCUUCGUAAGCCUAUAUAU